rnacentral:rRNA from 1 species
AAUACGGAGGGUGCGAGCGUUAAUCGGAAUUACUGGGCGUAAAAGCGCAAUGCAGGUGGUUUGUUAAGUCCUAGACUGUGAAAAGCCCGGGGACUCAACCUCGGAAUUGCAUUGAAACUGGCAAACUAGAGUACUGUAGAGGGGGUAGAAUUUCAGGUGUAGCGGUGAAAUGCGUAGAGAUCUGAAGGAAUACCGGUGGCGAAGGACGGCCCCCUGGACAGAUACUGACACUCAGAUGCGAAAGCGUGGGGAGACAAACAGGAUUAGAUACCCUGGGAG